rnacentral:rRNA from 1 species
AUACGUAGGGGGCGAGCGUUGUCCGGAAUGAUUGGGCGUAAAGGGCGCGUAGGCGGCCUGUUAAGUCUGGAGUGAAAGUCCUGUUUUCAAGAUGGGAAUUGCUUUGGAUACUGCCGCGCUUGAGUGCAGGAGAGGUUAUCGGAAUUCCCGGUGUAGCGGUGAAAUGCGUAGAGAUCGGGUGGAACACCAGUGGCGAAGGCGGGUAACUGGACUGCAACUGACGCUGAGGCGCGAAAGUGUGGGGAGCAAACAGGAUUAGAUACCCUGGUAGUCCACACUGUAAACGAUGAAUGCUAGGUGUAAGAGGUAUCGACCCUUUUUGUACCGGAGUCAACACAAUAAGCAUUCCGCCUGGGGAGUACGGCCGCAAGGUUGAAACUCAAAGGAAUUGACGGGG